UUGACUAAACACACUCACGCAGAGACUGUCCCUUUAAACCUUCGUCCCUUUAAACCGUACCCAAAUAAACGCUUUCGAUUCGCGUAGGCAGACCAGGCUAGCUCUCUCUGACCGGGCCAUGUGACGUAUUUUUAGUCAUAUGCUCCUAGUGAGAGUAACCCGCCGGCUAGGGAGUCUGGGAGUAGGCUGGGAGUGUUAACUGGUUAUUUAACAGAGUAGAAGAUGAGAGAGAGACUGGGAUGUGUGAUGGAUGAGUGACAGGGAGAAGAAGGGUGUAAUCUGUUUGACGUAAGGGUGACAGGCUGUGUGCGUCCGUGUGUACAUGUAUGUGGGUGGGUGUGGGUGACUGGGUGUGUGUGGUGGGUCAGUGUCCGUAUGUAUGUGUGUAUUACCCUUGUGAGACCCGCUCUGUGUGUAUGUGUGUGUGUGUGUGUGUGUGUAGGGAGGGAGAGACACGUGAGUAAAGAAGGGAGGAUAGGGGUCAGGAAAGAGGAGGAGGAGGAAGAGGGCUGACUGGGUGGAGCUCUUAAAGAUAGUAUUCAGAAAUUACGUGUUUUCUUGACGGCUUCGCUGAGUCACUGUGUUAGGGAAGAGGAAGAGGAGGAGGAUGAGGAUAUAGAAGUGAUGUAAGCAUAGUGUUGCCACGGUGACGGUGGUGGUGGGCAUGAUACAGAUGCGGGAGCUGGAGUUUGUGCCCAAUGGAGACAUGCAGCUGGGCAAAUUCUGUUGCUCAUUGCUCAGACUGGAGUUUACAUGUAUACCUCCUUCACCAUCAUUGGUGGACACUUCACCAUGAGUGAUGCUUGAGCUGUCACGGUGCUGCUGCUGUUGUCUGCCAUCAUCCCCCUGACACAGACCACCCUGCAGACCACCUUCAUCCUGGGUGCCACACGUCACUGCUGCUACAACUCAGAGCAACUGGAGCGCAAGCCAGGAAGGGAGAUAGUAACUUUUCACUUAAUUUGUUGUUUAUUUGAGGGCCUAAUGACAGACACAUAAUGGAAUGAGUAUUUGUGAAUGUUUGUUUAUAUCUAGAUACAGCAUUCACAUAUCUUUUAAGUGCCACCUUCCAAAAACAAUGUCAGCCAGAAAAAUAACUGAUGAAUCUAAUUACAUUUCAAGUCAAAAAGUUUUCCUUUAACCACUUUGCUCCAGAUGCUUAAAAACAUGCGUUGCUCACAUACAUGGCGUCGCGUAGGCUCGUGAGUGGUAACUUAUCUAAUUUCUAAUAAUUUCUAAUAUAAUUUCUGUGUGUGUGUGUGUGUGUGUGUGUGUGUGUGUGUGUGUGUGUGUGUGUGUGUGUGUGUGUGUGUUUUAUGUAUGAGUGACACUGGCCAAGGGCAACAAAAAUCCAAUAAAAAAAUAUGCCCACUGAAAUGGCAGUCCCAUAAAAGGGUCAAAGCAGUGGUCAAAAGUUGAUGAAUAAGUGUCUUGAAACCUCCCUGUUGAAGGAAUUCAAGUCAUAGGAAGGUGGAAAUACAGAAGCAGGCAGGGAGUUCCAGAGAUUACCAGAGAAAGGGAUGAAUGAUUGAGAAUACUUGUUAACUCUUGCAUUAGAGAAGUGGACAGAAUAGGGGUGAGAGAAAUAAGAAAAUCUUGUGCAGCAAGGCCGUGGAAGGAGGGGAAGCAUGCAGUUAGCAAGAUCAGAAGAGCAGUUAGCAUGAAAAUAGCGGUAGAAGACAGCUAGAGAUGCAACAUUGCGGCGGUGAGAGAGAGGCUGAAGACAGUCAGUUAUGUGUGUGUGUGUGUGUGUGUGUGUGUGUGUGUGUGCGCUGAUGCAGCUGAGAAGGUUGCCUUAUGAUAAUUAUUGACAAAUGAAGGUAAUGGAUGCGCAUGUCAUUACUACUUUUUUAAGUGUGUGUGUAUGUGUGUGUGUUAUGUACACACACACACACACACACACACACACACACACACACACACACACACACACACACACACACACACACACACACACACACACACACACACACAGAGAAGUAAUAGACACGCAUCCUUUACCUUCAUUCAUCAAUAAUUGUCAUAAGACGACCUUCCCAGCUGCAUCAUUACACACACACACACACACACACACACACACUUACACACCACGUAGUGUAGUGGUUAGCAUGCUCGGCUCACAACCAAGAAGGCCCAGGUUCGAAUCCCGGGCACGGUGAGGCAGAUGGACAAGCCUCUUAAUGUGUAGCCCUCUUAAUGUGUAGCCUCUUAAUGUGUAGGUACAGGAUGUAACCCGAGGUGAUGUGACUUCGCUGCCCUGGUGUGUGGUGUGUCAUUGGCCUCAGUCCUACCCAAAGAUCAGUCACCAUGAGCUCUGAGCUCUUACACACACACACACACACACACACACACACACACACACACACACACACAGAGAGAGAGAGAGAGAGAGAGAGAGAGAGAGAGAGAGAGAGAGAGAGCAAAAUGGCCAUGAAUGAAACAGGGAGGAGGGGGAACUGUGUGUGAAUGAAAACAUCAUCUACGUGAAACAUUUGAUUGAUUAUAAAGCACAUGUGCAUCAUAUAUAGUCAUGAAUGUGGAGGAACAGCAGAGUGAGUGAUCAACCACAGAAAGGAGAGAGUCGGACAUGCGGAGAGAAUGGAAGGGGAACAAUUUGAGAAGAUAAGCAUGCAAAUACAUAAAUAUAAGGUGGAAUAACAGUGUUUGGUGGGAAGAUGAAAGAGAGAUGCCUGUUUAUGAAGCAAAAUGGUUGUGCAAGAGAGGAAUGAUUGGAAAACCAUUCCCACCAAAGCCAACAGACCUUACACCAUAUUUUUACAAACCACAGCAUCUCUAUUCAUCCAUUCUGUGUGUCUUCUCUUCUCUCUCUCUCUCCACUCUUAAUGCUGCUGUGGGUCUCUGGGCUGGAGUACAUCAGAGAAAGAUUGACACAGACUUAUAUAUGAGAGGAUGUUGUCUGUAACUAUGCUAUGGGGACAUUGCAAGUUUGUGGGGUGUAGUGAAUGAAUAAGUGUGUCCUCUAUAGCAUACUUAAAAACCACACUCCCCAAAAAUAGAAUUGCAAAUGGUAGCCAGAAUUUACAUGAAUACUGGAGGGUGCUGUCAGGCCAAACCAGCUCCCCAUCUGUGCCUAUGCAGUGUCUGGCCAGCCACUAGUGUGUUUUGGGGGCUCAGACCAGCAGAUUCCCACUGUUUAUUCACUGUUUGUGUUGAUGCAGUGUCUGGCCAGCCACUUGUGUGUUUUGGGGGCUCAGACCAGCAGAUUCCCACUGUUUAUUCACUGUUUGUGUUGAUGCAGUGUCUGGCCAGCCACUUGUGUGUUUUGGGGGCUCAGACCAGCAGAUUCCCAGUGUUUAUUCACUGUUUGUGUUGAUUUAGUGUUUGGCCAGCCACUUGUGUGUUUUGGGGGCUCAGACCAGCAGAUUCCCACUGUUUAUUCACUGUUUGUGUUGAUCUAGUGUUUGGCCAGCCACUUGUGUGUAUGUAGGGGACUCAGACCAGCAGAUUCCCACUGUUUAUCCACUGUUUGUGUUGAUCUAGUGUUUGGCCAGCCAGUUGUGUGUUUUGGGGGCUCAGACCAGCAGAUUCCAACUGUUUAUUCACUGUUUGUGUUGAUCUAGUGUUUGGCCAGCCACUUGUGUUUAUGUAGGGGAUUCAGACCAGCAGAUUCCCACUGUUUAUCCACUGUUUGUGUUGAUCUAGUGUUUGGCCAGCCAGUUGUGUGUUUUGGGGGCUCAGACCAGCAGAUUCCCACUGUUUAUUCACUGUUUGUGUUGAUGCAGUGUCUGGCCAGCCACUUGUGUGUUUUGGGGGCUCAGACCAGCAGAUUCCCACUGUUUAUUCACUGUUUGUGUUGAUGCAGUGUCUGGCCAGCCACUUGUGUGUUUUGGGGGCUCAGACCAGCAGAUUCCCAGUGUUUAUUCACUGUUUGUGUUGAUUUAGUGUUUGGCCAGCCACUUGUGUGUUUUGGGGGCUCAGACCAGCAGAUUCCCACUGUUUAUUCACUGUUUGUGUUGAUCUAGUGUUUGGCCAGCCACUUGUGUGUAUGUAGGGGACUCAGACCAGCAGAUUCCCACUGUUUAUCCACUGUUUGUGUUGAUGCAGUGUUUGGCCAGCCACUUGUGUGUUUUGGGGGCUCAGACCAGCAGAUUCCUACUAUUUAUCCACUGUUUGUGUUGAUCUAGUGUUUGGCCAGCCAGUUGUGUGUUUUGGGGGCUCAGACCAGCAGAUUCCCACUGUUUAUUCACUGUUUGUGUUGAUCUAGUGUUUGGCCAGCCACUUGUGUGUUUUGGGGGCUCAGACCAGCAGAUUCUCACUGUUUAUUCACUGUUUGUGUUGAUCUAGUGUUUGGCCAGCCACUUGUGUGUAUGUAGGGGACUCAGACCAGCAGAUUCCCACUGUUUAUCCAUUGUUUGUGUUGAUGCAGUGUUUAGCCAGCCACUUGUGUGUAUGUAGGGGACUCAGACCAGCAGAUUCCCACUGUUUAUCCACUGUUUGUGUUGAUGCAGUGUUUGGCCAGCCACUUGUGUGUAUGUAGGGGACUCAGACCAGCAGAUUCCCACUGUUUAUUCACUGUUUGUGUUGAUGCAGUAUUUGGCCAGCCACUUGUGUGUAUGUAGCGGACUCAGACCAGCAGAUUCCCACUGUUUAUCCACUGUUUGUGUUGAUGCAGUGUUUGGCCAGCCACUUGUGUGUUUUGGGGGCUCAGACCAGCAGAUUCCUACUAUUUAUCCACUGUUUGUGUUGAUCUAGUGUUUGGCCAGCCACUUGUGUUUAUGUAGGGGACUCAGACCAGCAGAUUCCCACUGUUUAUCCACUGUUUGUGUUGAUCUAGUGUUUGGCCAGCCAUUUGUGUGUUUUGGGGGCUCAGACCAGCAGAUUCCCACUGUUUAUUCACUGUUUGUGUUGAUCUAGUGUUUGGCCAGCCACUAGUGUGUUUUGGGGGCUCAGACCAGCAGAUUCUCACUGUUUAUUCACUGUUUGUGUUGAUCUAGUGUUUGGCCAGCCACUUGUGUGUAUGUAGGGGACUCAGACCAGCAGAUUCCCACUGUUUAUUCACUGUUUGUGUUGAUGCAGUAUUUGGCCAGCCACUUGUGUGUAUGUAGCGGACUCAGACCAGCAGAUUCCCACUGUUUAUCCACUGUUUGUGUUGAUGCAGUGUUUGGCCAGCCACUUGUGUGUUUUGGGGGCUCAGACCAGCAGAUUCCUACUAUUUAUCCACUGUUUGUGUUGAUCUAGUGUUUGGCCAGCCACUUGUGUUUAUGUAGGGGACUCAGACCAGCAGAUUCCCACUGUUUAUCCACUGUUUGUGUUGAUCUAGUGUUUGGCCAGCCACUUGUGUGUUUUGGGGGCUCAGACCAGCAGAUUCCCACUGUUUAUUCACUGUUUGUGUUGAUCUAGUGUUUGGCCAGCCACUAGUGUGUUUUGGGGGCUCAGACCAGCAGAUUCUCACUGUUUAUUCACUGUUUGUGUUGAUCUAGUGUUUGGCCAGCCACUUGUGUGUAUGUAGGGGACUCAGACCAGCAGAUUCCCACUGUUUAUUCACUGUUUGUGUUGAUCUAGUGUUUGGCCAGCCACUUGUGUGUAUGUAGGGGACUCAGACCAGCAGAUUCCCACUGUUUAUCCAUUGUUUGUGUUGAUGCAGUGUUUGGCCAGCCACUUGUGUGUAUGUAGGGGACUCAGACCAGCAGAUUCCCACUGUUUAUCCACUGUUUGUGUUGAUGCAGUGUUUGGCCAGCCACUUGUGUGUAUGUAGGGGACUCAGACCAGCAGAUUCCCACUGUUUAUCCACUGUUUGUGUUGAUCUAGUGUUUGGCCAGCCAGUUGUGUGUUUUGGGGGCUCAGACCAGCAGAUUCCCACUGUUUAUUCACUGUUUGUGUUGAUCUAGUGUUUGGCCAGCCACUUGUGUUUAUGUAGGGGAUUCAGACCAGCAGAUUCCCACUGUUUAUCCACUGUUUGUGUUGAUCUAGUGUUUGGCCAGCCAGUUGUGUGUUUUGGGGGCUCAGACCAGCAGAUUCCCACUGUUUAUUCACUGUUUGUGUUGAUGCAGUGUCUGGCCAGCCACUUGUGUGUUUUGGGGGCUCAGACCAGCAGAUUCCCACUGUUUAUUCACUGUUUGUGUUGAUGCAGUGUCUGGCCAGCCACUUGUGUGUUUUGGGGGCUCAGACCAGCAGAUUCCCAGUGUUUAUUCACUGUUUGUGUUGAUUUAGUGUUUGGCCAGCCACUUGUGUGUUUUGGGGGCUCAGACCAGCAGAUUCCCACUGUUUAUUCACUGUUUGUGUUGAUCUAGUGUUUGGCCAGCCACUUGUGUGUAUGUAGGGGACUCAGACCAGCAGAUUCCCACUGUUUAUCCACUGUUUGUGUUGAUGCAGUGUUUGGCCAGCCACUUGUGUGUUUUGGGGGCUCAGACCAGCAGAUUCCUACUAUUUAUCCACUGUUUGUGUUGAUCUAGUGUUUGGCCAGCCAGUUGUGUGUUUUGGGGGCUCAGACCAGCAGAUUCCCACUGUUUAUUCACUGUUUGUGUUGAUCUAGUGUUUGGCCAGCCACUUGUGUGUUUUGGGGGCUCAGACCAGCAGAUUCUCACUGUUUAUUCACUGUUUGUGUUGAUCUAGUGUUUGGCCAGCCACUUGUGUGUAUGUAGGGGACUCAGACCAGCAGAUUCCCACUGUUUAUCCAUUGUUUGUGUUGAUGCAGUGUUUAGCCAGCCACUUGUGUGUAUGUAGGGGACUCAGACCAGCAGAUUCCCACUGUUUAUCCACUGUUUGUGUUGAUGCAGUGUUUGGCCAGCCACUUGUGUGUAUGUAGGGGACUCAGACCAGCAGAUUCCCACUGUUUAUUCACUGUUUGUGUUGAUGCAGUAUUUGGCCAGCCACUUGUGUGUAUGUAGCGGACUCAGACCAGCAGAUUCCCACUGUUUAUCCACUGUUUGUGUUGAUGCAGUGUUUGGUCAGCCACUUGUGUGUUUUGGGGGCUCAGACCAGCAGAUUCCUACUAUUUAUCCACUGUUUGUGUUGAUCUAGUGUUUGGCCAGCCACUUGUGUUUAUGUAGGGGAUUCAGACCAGCAGAUUCCCACUGUUUAUCCACUGUUUGUGUUGAUCUAGUGUUUGGCCAGCCAGUUGUGUGUUUUGGGGGCUCAGACCAGCAGAUUCCCACUGUUUAUUCACUGUUUGUGUUGAUCUAGUGUUUGGCCAGCCACUUGUGUGUUUUGGGGGCUCAGACCAGCAGAUUCUCACUGUUUAUUCACUGUUUGUGUUGAUCUAGUGUUUGGCCAGCCACUUGUGUGUAUGUAGGGGACUCAGACCAGCAGAUUCCCACUGUUUAUCCAUUGUUUGUGUUGAUGCAGUGUUUAGCCAGCCACUUGUGUGUAUGUAGGGGACUCAGACCAGCAGAUUCCCACUGUUUAUCCACUGUUUGUGUUGAUGCAGUGUUUGGCCAGCCACUUGUGUGUAUGUAGGGGACUCAGACCAGCAGAUUCCCACUGUUUAUUCACUGUUUGUGUUGAUGCAGUAUUUGGCCAGCCACUUGUGUGUAUGUAGCGGACUCAGACCAGCAGAUUCCCACUGUUUAUCCACUGUUUGUGUUGAUGCAGUGUUUGGCCAGCCACUUGUGUGUUUUGGGGGCUCAGACCAGCAGAUUCCUACUAUUUAUCCACUGUUUGUGUUGAUCUAGUGUUUGGCCAGCCACUAGUGUGUUUUGGGGGCUCAGACCAGCAGAUUCUCACUGUUUAUCCACUGUUUGUGUUGAUCUAGUGUUUGGCCAGCCACUUGUGUGUAUGUAGGGGACUCAGACCAGCAGAUUCCCACUGUUUAUUCACUGUUUGUGUUGAUCUAGUGUUUGGCCAGCCACUUGUGUGUAUGUAGGGGAUUCAGACCAGCAGAUUCCCACUGUUUAUUCACUGUUUGUGUUGAUCUAGUGUUUGGCCAGCCACUUGUGUGUAUGUAGGGGACUCAGACCAGCAGAUUCCCACUGUUUAUUCACUGUUUGUGUUGAUGCAGUGUUUGGCCAGCCACUUGUGUGUAUGUAGGGGACUCAGACCAGCAGAUUCCCACUGUUUAUUCACUGUUUGUGUUGAUGCAGUGUUUGGCCAGCCACUUGUGUGUAUGUAGGGGACUCAGACCAGCAGAUUCCCACUGUUUAUCCACUGUUUGUGUUGAUGCAGUGUUUGGCCAGCCACUUGUGUGUUUUGGGGGCUCAGACCAGCAGAUUCCUACUAUUUAUCCACUGUUUGUGUUGAUCUAGUGUUUGGCCAGCCACUUGUGUUUAUGUAGGGGACUCAGACCAGCAGAUUCCCACUGUUUAUCCACUGUUUGUGUUGAUCUAGUGUUUGGCCAGCCACUUGUGUGUUUUGGGGGCUCAGACCAGCAGAUUCCCACUGUUUAUUCACUGUUUGUGUUGAUCUAGUGUUUGGCCAGCCACUAGUGUGUUUUGGGGGCUCAGACCAGCAGAUUCUCACUGUUUAUUCACUGUUUGUGUUGAUGCAGUGUUUGGCCAGCCACUUGUGUGUAUGUAGGGGACUCAGACCAGCAGAUUCCCACUGUUUAUCCAUUGUUUGUGUUGAUGCAGUGUUUGGCCAGCCACUUGUGUGUAUGUAGGGGACUGAGACAAGUUUAUUUAAUGUUCAGUGACCCAUUUGCAGGCACAGGGGUGUUGAGGAGCUGGGUGUGCAGGAGACAGACAAUUACAAAGGUUUACAGUUCAAAUGCUACAUGUAUCUUCAAAAUACAGAUAAUAAGUAGAUAAAUAUUGAAAUUAAUAUAAAAUACCAUUCUUUAUUUAACACUUAACCAAACUUAACCAACAUACACACACACGCUAACUCAGACAGUUCCCUAACUACCUUACCAUCCCGCAGGAGGCCAUGUCGGAGGUGCCGGUGGUGGGGUCGCCAGUUCCGGAGUACGAGGUGGAGGAGGAAAAGGAAGAGGAGGACGAGGAGGAGGCACGGAUAAGGAAGAAGAAAAGAUUAUUACCUGUAGCCCUCCCUCCAGCUGAUAAGGGGAUAUUAAGGAGCCCUUCCUACAGGUUUGUUCGAUGCAAGGAGUUGGCACAGGAGGCGUCCGAGGCUGUGUAGAGCGGCCGUCUGAACCUGGUGCCACAGCUUACUAUGUUCAACAGAUGCCUGAAGGAAGUGUGUGUAAGGGAGGAUAAAGAGAUCAUGCUGGCCUAUGCAGACGAUGUCGCUGUCGUGACAGGAAGCCAACAAGAUCUUCAAGAGGCCAUGACAAGAUGGAAUGAUGUUUUAAAUAGGGAAGGAAUGAGAAUGAACAAACAAAAAACAGAAAUAAUGAAAGUUGGCAGAAUAAAGGAGGAAUGUAAUAUUUACAUAGAAAACGUUAAACUGAAGCAGACCAACAAAUUUUGUUAUCUGGGAGUACUUUUCGAUGAGGAAAACAGACAGAAUAUAGAAAUUUUAAAUAGAAUACAGAAGUACAAUGCAAAUGUCAGUGCAUUGUAUCCCAUACUUAAAGAUAAGAAUAUUCCAACAAAAGUUAAAACCAUAAUAUUUACAACAAUACUAAGACCAGUACUUCUAUAUGUUUCAGAAACUUGGACAGUGACAACAAGAACAUCUUCACAAAUACAAGCAGCAGAAA